rnacentral:snoRNA from 1 species
CUGGACAUGAUGACAAAUUUAGAGCUGAUGCCGGUGAUGGCUCUUGUGUUCGUACUGUCUGAUCCAU